AUGCCACUCCUGACCCACCCUACCACCCUGUUCAGUUGUUGGAGACCUCAUACCUCCCUCCAGCCCCGGCUGCCUCUGAGGGGAUUGCUGACCACCCCACCCCCUACGAGACUUGUUGGGUUGCCUCGAAGGCUUGGGCCCACCCGCAUGACUUCUGCAGGCCUGCCUGGUGCUCAGCACACAUCCUCUUUACCGAUCCUGGAGGCUGCUGAAAGGGGCUCUUUUCCAUCCUCGACUCUGGAAGUUCUCAUACACACCCAGCCCACCGUGCCUGGAUCUCCAAAUUUUGUUGAAAUUUCGUUCAACUGCCCACGAUGGGGCAGGGGGGAGUCCAUAGUGACUCAUUUUCCCCAUCUGCUGAGAUGGCUUUUGACAAAUGAAGCCCAGCCAGAUGCUCCUGUGGGACCGAGAGACUGUCCACCUCAGAAGCGAGACCUUGGCUUCCAGGCCAGGAGCACCUCCCAUGUGGAUCUUCAGACUCUCAUCCACCAGUAUGUCUCUGCCUGCCCCCCCCCCCCCGCCAUCCCCGUGAGGGCUCAGGACGUCCCCAAGCCCUUCCUCCUGCUCUCCACAUGCCAUGUCUUCAUGCCCCUGCUGACAGCUUACCCUGAGCUCACAGUGUGAGAUCCCCCUAUGGCAAACUCACCACAACCGACCCGUCACAGGAGACCUUAGGGACAGAUUGAGGCUCCCGUUCUCCAUUGGGAAACAGCUCUAAGUUCUUCACGAAUGGGAUACCUCUUUAUUUAUUUAUUUUUAUUUAUUUAUUUUUCAGAGAGAGACAGUGAGCAAAUGGGGGAGAGGGACAGAGAGAGAGAGGGAGAGAGCAAAUCUCAAGCAGAUUCCAUACUCAGUGCAGAGCUCGAUGCGGGGUUCGAUCCCACGACCCUGAGAUCAUGACCUGAGUGGAAAUCAAGAGCCGACCGACCGAGCCACCCAGGCCCCCCACGAAUGGGAUACCUCUUAAGGCAAGGCUGAAAAUUACUUCCCAGCCCUUAACGUCACGAAGCUUUUAGGCUUCCUUGGUUUAAUGAAUUUAUAUGGAAAUCUGGCCCUCCAAAUCUGUGCCUCCUCCUAAAAAUAGUAAUUCCGAUCUCAGUGUGUUUUUCACAACAUCGCCCCUUUGACACUAGCAGUAUUCUAAGCUUCACGAAUUCCUUUGGGAACAUGACAUUCG
rnacentral:lncRNA from 1 species